UAUCACAUCAUAUUAAGAUAAAACCCUUAGUUAAAUUUCUUAAGCACUCCCAUCCCAAUUCAUUCUUCCCUCAUACACUGCUAUCUCCCGCUAUAGGAAUUUUGAACCCGCCGCGCUCAGCCGUAGCUUCCGUUCUCGCUCGCCGCCCCUCUCCGUUGUUAUCGCGCACCGCUGUAGUCUUGUCGUCUGUGCGGCUAGAUUAUUUCUUCUCAUACCCACUCUCUGCCGCUCUAAAUAAUCGAACCCGCCGCCUCAAACCCUAGCCACGCGGUUCUCGCCGCCCUCUUCACCAUUCUCGCGCUCAAACCCUCUUCGUCCGGUCAAACCGCCACUCCCCGUCUCAAGCAGGCAUAGUCGCACAUCCGCCCUCUGCCUCGGCCGUCGGCCUCUUCCCCAUUGCCAACCGCCGCCCUCCUUCUCUGUCUUCACUUCUACACGUCCGUUGUGCUGCCGUCACUGCUCCGCUUUUUUGAUGCUCCAUUGUUCGCUGCUCUGUUCUAGCGACCGUGUUGAAAACAAGGGUUAUUCAUCGCUCCUGUCGUGUACAGUAAUGGACAUCAAUAGUUCUGUGACGAAUGUCUGAUAUAUUUAAGUAGCAAUUUUAAUGUGGGCAAGGUGACUUUGCAAAUUAUUUCCGAAGAAAGAUAGUACAUCAAAUAUGGUAGAGGGUUGUCAUAAAUUUUGGGUAUAUAUGUUUGUAAACAGGGAUAAAUGGUGGAAGGGGAUGUUUGGUGGCUGUGAAGAGGCUCAAGGAUGUCACCAUUUUGGAGAACGAAUUCAAGGACAAGAUUGAGAGUGUUGGAGCUAUGGAUCAUCACAAUUUGGUGCCUCUUAGAGCUUACUACUAUAGUAGGGAGGAGAAGCUUCUUGUCUAUGAUUAUAUGCCAAUGGGAAGCCUCUCUGCACUCUUACAUGGUUGUCAAUGAUUUGCUGAACCUGCUGGACAAAAUUUGAGAAUGAGAGAAGAUGCACAGGGAACCUUUGUUGAAGGAGUUAAGGAGGAAGUUAUAGUAUCCUCGAUACUAAUUUCAGGUUAUAGCAAGAGGUGUAGAGUGUGAUUUAGCUCUUAUUUUUUGGUGAAAGCAAGGAGUUAUGAGAAGGCACCGAGCCACUGCAUUUCAGAUGCUAGCUUAUGUAAUUUACAGGGGAUUGGUUCGAUUGGAUAUUCACUUUCUCACAUAAUGCUAUUUAGUUUUUAGAUGCCACUUGUUUACUCAUGAAAACUAUUUAGUAUUGGUGAGGUAAGACUUUGACAGGAUUUUACUCUUCUCUAUUCCCACGAUUUUGAUAGAAAAUCUUAUAUUCUCAAUUCAAUAUGUUAGAUUUUUUUUAAUUGUUCAUACUAAAUCUAAAUUUUGUGUAGUAAACAUUGGAUCUUAACAAUUAUUGAGCCUUACAAAGAUUGUGUCUAUGUGAUGGAUCCUUUGUCUCAUCGGAAUCGUGAUGCCACUUGGAAAUCCGUAGUUGACACUUAAACUUUCCAGGUCAUACUCAAGUUAGGGACAAAGAAUAGGCACCAUUUACCUUGCUAGGAAAAAAUAUUGAUUUUGCGUAUUAAAAACCUAACGAUAUACAUAUGUUUGUUUUCCAGCGCAAUGGUAAGAAGUUAUAUUAAUUAUUAGUAAUAUAUUAAUAUAGCAUUUUAUGUGAUAUAGGUUUUAUGUGAUGAAUUUGUUUAUUGUCAGUUUAAAAAACGUGAGUAUUCUAUGAGUGAGAUAAAUGAGGUUUGAGAAGAUUGGGCAACUUCUGCCAUUAAUGAGCUUUGACAUGUGACAUGGAGAAGUUCUUGCGCGUUGAUAUGGCAUUUUGAAAGCUUUUUGGAACAAUUAUAAUUUGUGGGUGUCGUAUGUAGGUGAAUUUUGUUGUUGGGAGAUGUGGUAGAACAUUGGUUCUUAUUUUGUUGUUGUUGUUGGAUGAAUAUUGGUUAUCAAUGUUUAAUUGGUCAUUUUCAGUA